AAGAUGACUUGGGUCUGAGCACUGCGCAUGCCUAAAACCCUGCUUGUUAAGACUAGAUCUGAAAGUGAGCUGGCACCAGCCCAUCUCACCCCAAGCUGUUGUCUGAACCGCUUCACACCCAUGCAGGGAUCCGGGCUUAGAAGGAGCUAAACAGGGACAGACAUGAGAUCUAGGCCGGUGGAGACUCCAAUGAGUUUGGUUUAAAGUGGGGGAAACACCUCUGAGCCGACUAGCGCUUCCGCACCCGCACCCGUCAUAAAGAGCUGUCUGAGCGCCUCCACCCAGGCUGGCUGCUGGCCUCUUUAAAAUCAGCCCUGGCGACCUGUGAUUCUUUUUUUUCUCUGUGCCAUGGAUGGCCUGGCAGCCAAUUGCUGCUGGCCCUGGAGCUGGCUGCAGCCAACUUGCCCUGCCUGUGACCCGCAAAUGGCUCGCCCUGGCUGGAUGAAUUGGAAAGCCAACUUACUUCUGGAAGUUCAGCCUGAUCUGAUCCUGCUUGUCAGUGAUGAAGUGAAAACAAAAUACUAGGAGGCCCACACCAGGGUUUCUCUGACAGAGAGGACUGACAAGGCAGUAACAGCUCUGAGGACCGUCAGCGUUACCGGAAAAAUAAAACCUGAAGGCUUGGAGGCCGAACAAUGAACCUACAGGGUCUCACUUUGUAUGCCUCGUGCUGGCUGGAAACUCACUGUGUGGAACCCACUGGCCUCAAACCUGUGGCAAUUCUCCUGCUUCAUCUUCCUGAGGGUUGGGAUUGCAAGUGACUCCUACUACCCCUGGCUAUAAAUCUUUAACUGGACCUGGUUCAUUGACUUCACAGACCAUUGAAGACAAAAGCCACCAAAUUUCCUUUUUCUGUUUUGAAAUGUCUCUCUUUAUAGCCCAGACUGGCUUUAAAUUUGCUGUGUAGCUGAGGCUGGCCUGUCAAUCCUGCUUUUACCUGAAGAGUACUGGGAUCGUAGUCAGUUUUGGGGUUUUGUACCAUGUUAGGAAGGAGGAAAUAACAGAAGGAGGAAGACAGACGUUUCCAGAAUCAGUCUGUCAGGGUGAAGCUGCAGCUCCUAGAAACCAAAGACUCAUGCAGACAAAAUCGUCUGCUACUUACUAAAAGCAUGGUGACUCUGUUAGCACCAUGCUCUAACCACCUGAUCUAACUGACCAAACUUCUUUGUGCCUCUGAUUUCCCAACAGCCUCUCACGAUCCUGCUUCAGUUGAGCCUCUGCUCAGAAAUCUUCAGGAAGAAGUCAACCCAAGACCCCAGCUUCCUCGGGCCCCACCUCUGUGCCCCCUGCUGACUGAAGGUGGUUGGCAAAGCCUCUCCCAGCUGAGAAACCUGCUGGAGGCUCUCAGGGCUGUGGAGUGGCUCAAGCUACUUCCAGUUUCUGUAGUUCCCGCUUUAUGAAAAGGAAAGAAAGAAGAACUGGCUCCUACAUUGUCACCACUGUGUGCUACAGAUACUCAUAGUGAGGUGCCAUGGAUGCCAAAAGCCCUUCAUCCUUUUUUUAGAGAGAGUGACUCUCACUGAG
rnacentral:lncRNA from 1 species